ACCUGGCUGGCUCAGUCAGUGGAGUGUGCGACUCUUGACCUCAGGGUUGUGAGUUCGAGCCCCACGUUGGGUA
rfam:Felis catus isolate Cinnamon breed Abyssinian chromosome A3, whole genome shotgun sequence.